rnacentral:rRNA from 1 species
CCCUUAGAUGUUCUGGGCUGCACGCGCGCUACACUGAUGCGUUCAACGAGUGUACAUCCUGGCCCGGUAGGGUUGGGUAAUCUUCUGAACACGCAUCGUGAUGGGGAUAGAUUAUUGCAAUUAUUAAUCUUCAACGAGGAAUUCCUAGUAAUGGUGAAUCAUCAGUUCAUCGUGAUUACGUCCCUGCCCUUUGUACACACCACCCGUCGCACCUACCGAUUGAAUGGUCCGGUGAAAUCUCGGGACGGCGGCUUGGUCGCUUGCGUCCGACUGCUGAAACUUGAUUAAACCAUAUCAUUUAGAGGAAGGUGAANUCGUANCA